GAUGAACGCUGGCGGCGUGCUUAACACAUGCAAGUCGAACGAUGAAGCCCAGCUUGCUGGGUGGAUUAGUGGCGAACGGGUGAGUAACACGUGAGUAACCUGCCCUUAACUCUGGGAUAAGCCUGGGAAACUGGGUCUAAUACCGGAUAGGAGCGUCCACCGCAUGGUGGGUGUUGGAAAGAUUUAUCGGUUUUGGAUGGACUCGCGGCCUAUCAGCUUGUUGGAGAGGUAAUGGCUCACCAAGGCGACGACGGGUAGCCGGCCUGAGAGGGUGACCGGCCACACUGGGACUGAGACACGGCCCAGACUCCUACGGGAGGCAGCAGUGGGGAAUAUUGCACAAUGGGCGCAAGCCUGAUGCAGCGACGCCGCGUGAGGGAUGACGGCCUUCGGGUUGUAAACCUCUUUCAGUAGGGAAGAAGCGAAAGUGACGGUACCUGCAGAAGAAGCACCGGCUAACUACGUG
rnacentral:rRNA from 1 species